rnacentral:rRNA from 1 species
UACGUAGGGUGCAAGCGUUGUCCGGAAUUAUUGGGCGUAAAGAGCUCGUAGGCGGUCUGUCACGUCGGAUGUGAAAACUCGGGGCUCAACCCCGAGCCUGCAUACGAUACGGGCAGACUUGAGUUCGGCAGGGGAGACUGGAAUUCCUGGUGUAGCGGUGAAAUGCGCAGAUAUCAGGAGGAACACCGGUGGCGAAGGCGGGUCUCUGGGCCGAUACCGACGCUGAGGAGCGAAAGCGUGGGGAGCGAACAGG